AUGCGGUGGCCGACGAGAUCGCGGCCUCCAAUGCGGCGGUAGCGUCGCGCCGUUCGGAUCCGCGGCUGCGCA
rnacentral:tRNA from 1 species